rnacentral:rRNA from 1 species
GACGAACGCUGGCGGCGUGCCUAAUACAUGCAAGUCGAGCGGAACACUUGGAGCUUGCUCCAAGCGUUUAGCGGCGGACGGGUGAGUAACACGUGGGCAACCUGCCCUGCAGAUCGGGAUAACUCCGGGAAACCGGUGCUAAUACCGAAUAGUUUGAGGACUCUCCUGAGGCUUCACGGAAAGACGGUUUCGGCUGUCACUGCAGGAUGGGCCCGCGGCGCAUUAGCUAGUUGGUGGGGUAACGGCCCACCAAGGCCACGAUGCGUAGCCGACCUGAGAGGGUGACCGGCCACACUGGGACUGAGACACGGCCCAGACUCCUACGGGAGGCAGCAGUAGGGAAUCUUCCGCAAUGGACGCAAGUCUGACGGAGCAACGCCGCGUGAGUGACGAAGGUUUUCGGAUCGUAAAACUCUGUUGUGAGGGAAGAACACGUACCAACUAACUAUUGGUACCUUGACGGUACCUCACCAGAAAGCCACGGCUAACUACGUGCCAGCAGCCGCGGUAAUACG